rnacentral:rRNA from 1 species
GGGGGGGGGGGGGGGGGGGGGGAGGGGGGGCGGGGCGGGGGGAGAGGGCGUGCGUGGGGGGGGUGCUCGAGGGGCGAACGGGGGAGUAACACGUGAGUAACCUGCCCUUGACUUUGGGAUAACUUCAGGAAACUGGGGCUAAUACCGGAUAGGAGCUCCUGCUGCAUGGUGGGGGUUGGAAAGUUUCGGCGGUUGGGGAUGGACUCGCGGCUUAUCAGCUUGUUGGUGGGGUAGUGGCUUACCAAGGCUUUGACGGGUAGCCGGCCUGAGAGGGUGACCGGCCACAUUGGGACUGAGAUACGGCCCAGACUCCUACGGGAGGCAGCAGUGGGGAAUAUUGCACAAUGGGCGGAAGCCUGAUGCAGCAACGCCGCGUGCGGGAUGACGGCCUUCGGGUUGUAAACCGCUUUCGCCUGUGACGAAGCGUGAGUGACGGUAAUGGGUAGAGAAGCACCGGCUAACUACGUG